CUGGAUCACAGUAGGGAAAGAAGCCACUUCUUGGGGAUAGAACCCAGGGAGGAAUAAAGAAACCCACUUUUCUACAGUCACAUAGAAAGUCAUAAAUAGCAGCAAAAUUGAAUUUCUAAGGCACCAGGAGAAUGAGGAGAAGCUUGUGGCUGACUUGAAUCCCUCAGAUGAUUUUGUUUUAUGAAGGAUGGGAUGAAAAUGUCAGAGUACACGGAAAACAUCUUAGUUCUUCCCAUCUCCAGUGGGAUCAUUCAAAUCCUGCCCCAGGUCCUGUUGAGCUAGUGCUGAUGCCCCAGGAAGAGGAGCAAAGAAGCAACAUGCUAUCAGCCUUGGGAAACAAAGAAAUACAAGAUUGCUCGAAAUCUUCAAUCUCUGAUAUUGUAUUAAUGAAGGCUCAUUCCCAAGUGCCGGAAAAGCCUUCCACGAUUCAAGAUGAAUUGCAAGAAUGUGUUGUUUGGGGCAAUUAUGAAGACAGAGAGGAAAUGUUAUGCAAACUCCUAGGUUUCAGCUGUUUCCAAGGCCAGGCCUGACUAGCCACAGAAAGCAAGUGAAUGUUCUCAGAAGGACUGAGAUGUCACUAUCUCUCUCUAUGUUGUAUCCAAUGGAGUAAUAAAAACCUUGAACAUGGCUACACAUUCCAAAAUGUGG
rnacentral:lncRNA from 1 species